rnacentral:lncRNA from 1 species
AUGGUGGAGAAAUUCUGCCCCCUUCAUCCCCACCAAGAAAUGAUGCUGAGACCCAUUUCAUUGCUCCUCAGAGUCACCUUUGGUGACGGCCACUCCACCAAGCACACUUCUGCUGUUUCUCCCUCCUUCCGAUGCCCCCCUCCCUCUCUGCGUCUCUCUGGAUUUGUCCUGCCGAUUAAAGUGAGGGUACGCAAGCCCUCUGCUUUGGCUCUGCCUUCAGGGAAACCUGGCCAAGGCGCCAUCCACAUGCUGACGCCCCAGCACGUGCAUCUCCAGGCCAGGCUUCACCUGGACCUCAGGUUCACGUGGCCAACUGUGAAGAGGGACAUUCAAGGCAGCCUGUCCAAAAGGAAGCGCCUGAUCUUCGCCCCCCCAACCUGCUCCACCGAAGCUUCCCCGGCCUACCAUGUGCCCCGGACAAAACUCGAGUCAGCCAUGACUCACCCAGUCCGAGAGCACGUGACAUCGUCUCCGUCUUCACAGGUCUCCCAAACGGACCGCUUAUCCUCCAUCUCUGUCACAACCACUGGUCCAAGGUCCCACCUCUCCUCCCUGAUCUGCAGUCGCCUCCAGACCGCACUCCCUGCUUCCCUUCUUACUCUCUGUGUCCACUCUCCCCACAGCAGCCUGGGAUCCCGUGAGGUGCGUCAGCUCAUGUCACCUUUCAGCUCAGAACUCUCCCCUGGCAUCCACCUCGCUCGCAGUAAAAGCGAGGUCCUCGUGGUGGCCAGCAAGACCACAGUCUUCCCUUUUAUUUUUAUUUAUUUAUUAUUAUUAUUAUUAUUUUUUGUCGUUUUAGGGCUGCACCUGCAGCAUAUGGAGGUUCCCAGACUAGGGGUUGAAUCAGAACUGUGGCCACCAGCCUACGCCACAACCAUAACAAUACAGAAUCCAGGCUGUGUCUACGACCUACACCACAGCUCACGGCAACACCAGACCCUUAACCCACUGAGCGGGGCCAGGGUUGAACCCACAUCCUCAUGGAUCCUAGUCGGGUCCACUAACCACUGA